GCGUUACAAAAUAUGUACCUGUUGAUGUUUAUUGUCACUUUUCAUUGAUUAAGAAUAACCGAUUUUCCCCGAGUCUCUUUCAUUAACGAUGAUAAUAACAAGGAAAGCGCACAAUUCUUGGUCACAUGGAUUGAUGGAAUAUGAGGCAGUUCUUUUUGUAAACUAAACAUUAUUAUACACGCGGAAGUUUCUCGAAUUGUUCAAGGUCUGCAUGUUUGGUCUCCGGUACAGAAAUGUUGUUGGACACACCUUUCUCUAAGUUUUUCCUGCAUUGAUUUCUCUGUGCAAUAGAAGCGUUAGAAGCGCGAACGCGCGGCGAGCGCGGACACUUAGCGGCGCGAGCCCUGUCGCGCGGCGCCUCGCUCUCCGUCGGACACUGCGGAGGGGGGGUUCCGGGGUGUCCUCAGUGCCACUAAGGCUUUCCUCCAUUAGGGAACAAGGCCCGCCAUUGUGGCAGCGAGUGCGAUGCUGUCGGAGAUGGAACCCCCAGGAGCUGCUCAGGUGCAACCAGAGUCCGGAACAGAGUCCUUUCAUCAGUGCCUACACGUUGGCACGAAGCUUGAACUCUCCAACCUUCAGGGGAAUCACCGUGCUUUUCAGUUGGCCGUCAAUAAAAGGGACGCGCGCCAUUCAAUCCAAUUAGUGAAAUUCCGUCUGAUUACUGCUUUUUACAUUUUUUCCCCCCCAAACAAAUCACAUUUUCGCUUCGCCCCCAUCCAUCAUCUGCCAAUUUCACUGGAAGUAAGAGUGCCAC
rnacentral:lncRNA from 1 species